rnacentral:rRNA from 1 species
AUUGAACGCUGGCGGAAUGCUUUACACAUGCAAGUCGAACGGCAGCACGGGAGCAAUCCUGGUGGCGAGUGGCGAACGGGUGAGUAAUAUAUCGGAACGUGCCCGGUCGUGGGGAUAACGUAGCGAAAGCUACGCUAAUACCGCAUACGAUCUACGGAUGAAAGCGGGGGAUCGCAAGACCUCGCGCGAUUGGAGCGGCCGAUAUCAGAUUAGGUAGUUGGUGGGGUAAAGGCUCACCAAGCCAACGAUCUGUAGCUGGUCUGAGAGGACGACCAGCCACACUGGAACUGAGACACGGUCCAGACUCCUACGGGAGGCAGCAGUGGGGAAUUUUGGACAAUGGACGCAAGUCUGAUCCAGCCAUUCCGCGUGCAGGAUGAAGGCCCUCGGGUUGUAAACUGCUUUGUACGGAACGAAAGGUUUCUCUUAAUACGAGGAGCUCAUGACGGUACCGUAAGAAUAAGCACCGGCUAACUACGUGCCAGCAGCCG